rnacentral:rRNA from 1 species
GACGAACGCUGGCGGCGUGCUUAACACAUGCAAGUCGAGCGGUAAGGCCCUUUCGGGGGUACGACGAGCGGCGAACGGGUGGAGUAACACGUGGGUGGACCUGCCCUCCAGCUCUGGGAGUAAGACCUGGGAAACCGGGGUACUAAUAACUGGAUAUGACUCCAUGACGCAUGUUGUGGGGUGGAAAGCCUUGUGCGGCUGAGGAUGGGCCCGGCGGCCUAUCAGCUUGUUGGUGGGGUGGAUGGCCCACCAAGGCGACGACGGGUAGCCGG